rnacentral:rRNA from 1 species
CGAACGCUGGCGGCGUGCUUAACACAUGCAAGUCGAACGGAAAGGCCCUGCUUUUGUGGGGUGCUCGAGUGGCGAACGGGUGAGUAACACGUGAGUAACCUGCCCUUGACUUUGGGAUAACUUCAGGAAACUGGGGCUAAUACCGGAUAGGAGCUCCUGCUGCAUGGUGGGGGUUGGAAAGUUUCGGCGGUUGGGGAUGGACUCGCGGCUUAUCAGCUUGUUGGUGGGGUAGUGGCUUACCAAGGCUUUGACGGGUAGCCGGCCUGAGAGGGUGACCGGCCACAUUGGGACUGAGAUACGGCCCAGACUCCUGCGGGAGGCAGCAGUGGGGAAUAUUGCACAAUGGGCGGAAGCCUGAUGCAGCAACGCCGCGUGCGGGAUGACGGCCUUCGGGUUGUAAACCGCUUUCGCCUGUGACGAAGCGUGAGUGACGGUAAUGGGUAAAGAAGCACCGGCUAACUACGUG